rnacentral:rRNA from 1 species
UACGAAGGGGGCUAGCGUUGUCCGGAAUUACUGGGCGUAAAGCGCACGUAGGCGGCCUAUUAAGUCAGGGGUGAAAUCCCGGGGCUCAACCCCGGAACUGCCUUUGAUACUGGCAGUCUAGAGUCCGGAAGAGGUGAGUGGAAUUCCGAGUGUAGAGGUGAAAUUCGUAGAUAUUCGGAGGAACACCAGUGGCGAAGGCGGCUCACUGGUCCGGUACUGACGCUGAGGUGCGAAAGCGUGGGGAGCAAACAGG